GAUUAACGCUGGCGGCAUGCCUUAUGCAUGCAAGUAGAACGAGAUUUGUAGCAAUACAAGUCUAGUUGCGAACGGCUGAGUAAUGGAUAGGAAUCUCCCCAAUGGUGUGGAAUACCCCAUCGAAAGAUGGGCUAAUACCGCAUGACCCCGCAAGGGAAAAGCGCUUCACCGCGCGCCGAUGGAUGAGCCUAUCUCCCAUCAGGUAGUUGGUGGGGUAAUGGCCUACCAAGGCGACGAUCCGUAACUGGUCUGAGAGGAUGAUCAGUCACACCGGAACUGAGACACGGUCCGGACUCCUACGGGAGGCAGCAGUGGGGAAUAUUGGACAAUGGGCGAAAGCCUGAUCCAGCCAUGCCGCGUGAGUGAUGAAGGCCUUCGGGUUGUAAAGCUCUUUCGCACGCGACGAUGAUGACGGUAGCGUGAGAAGAAGCCCCGGCUAACUUCGUGCCAGCCGCCGCAGUAA
rnacentral:rRNA from 1 species